ACUCCUACGGGAGGCAGCAGUAGGGAAUCUUCCGCAAUGGACGAAAGACUGACGGAGCAACGCCGCGUGAGUGAUGAAGGCUUUCGGGUCGUAAAACUCUGUUGUUAGGGAAGAAUAAGUGCUAGUUGAAUAAGCUGGCACCUUGACGGUACCUAACCAGAAAGCCACGGCUAACUACGUGCCAGCAGCCGCGGUAAU
rnacentral:rRNA from 1 species